AUUCGUACUUUGUAUGCACAGAACAAUUCCUACAUUUUCUUUUUCCACUUCCUAUUUUUCUAAAUUUUCAGUGAAAGGAUAUUGACUUACAGCAAUCUAUUAGGAUAAAAUUGGUCAAUGAAUGGCACGCCCUUAAUCUCAAAUAAAGACCAAUAGUUGGAGUGAACCCUACUUCUUACUCAAACGUAUUUAAUAUUUAAUACAGCAACUGCGACCAACUACUUACUGCCCUCUAGAUCAUUCUAGAGAAAGUAAACAAAUCCAGUCAACUUAUUUUCCAAUUUUAGACUAGAAAGUACAACAACAAAUUGGACUUGAAACUAGCCUAUCUAAAAACUCAAUCAGUAAGUUUUAUUCCAGAAGUAAAAUCAAAGGUACUUAAUUCAUGGUACUUUAGUCCUGUAAUCAUCUAGUUAUGGCUUAAGCAGAAUAUGCAUAUGUUAGAUAGGUGAGCAUGCAUUGCUAUCAUUAUCUGUCUCAAUUCUCUACUCUUCAAAAUCUUCCAACUCCCCCAACCACUAAAAAACCAACAUGAACUUCAAAGCCUAGGAACACAGUUCAAAUGCUAUCAAUUAAGAAGUAAAAUGACGUUCCAGAGAAAAAAAUAAGUUGCUUAUACAAUAAAGUGAAAGACAUUCAGAUCUGAGGUAAGUAAACGUGCUUGAUUGCUCCACAAUAACCAUAGUUGUGUUUUGGAAUAUCUAACCGUAUAACAUAUAGCAACAAGGUUGGAACACUGUACUCGGGACCAACAUGGUUGGACAAAUUUUAAACCAAAUAAAGAAUACAGAAGAUAGCAAAUAGCCUGAAACGGCACAAACACGUAAUAAUGAGAAAAGGUCAUUUUGUACAGCAGAGCCACUACAAAGCGCUCAUCAAGCAUUUCAGAUCUCAAGCUCUUACCACAAAUUUACAUGCUAUUAGCCUGUUUGGUUCGUGAGAAAAUGUAGGGGAAACUUCAGUGAGAAAAAAUUCAAAUAAAUCUUCAACGAAAUCAUCCUCGGUCGCUCAAUGCAAUUAUUUAGCUUGGUUGCUGAGUACCUUAGAAACAAAAAUCAGCUAAAAAAUCUUUUCUCCUUAGAAUUUCUCAGCUACCAAACAACGGAGUACCAAAGAAAAACUAGUUUAGAAGCGCUGAGUUUCAACUAAUUC
rnacentral:lncRNA from 1 species